rnacentral:misc_RNA from 1 species
AUUUUUUAGGUGAAAAAAAAUUCAAUUUUAACCCAAAACUUAAUCAGCCGGUUCUAGUCUAAUUCCAUCGUGAUUCAAGUCAAUUACGAUUUUGACCAAUUUAAAUUCAAUUUGAACCAUUUUGAUUUCACUUCUGACCAGGCCCCUGGCCGGAUCUAAAACAGCAAGAUUUUCACCUAAAUAUCGAGUGCAAAUUAAGGUAGUUAGGUAGUUGAGCUGGUUGUCAUUAAGAGAUUGAAAUGAAAUAUGUAGCCUUUUUUCAUGAUUUGGUUCUAUCAAUAAAUAAGGAUUAUGAUUUCUGAAAUGCAACAAAUGGCUUCUUCACACUCACAGCAGCAACGUUCCCAUGUCCCAA